GGUCUUAUAUUCAAAAAUGAUAUUGGAAUGCAAUUCUGAUGGUGUAAAUUAAUACUAAGACUU
rnacentral:tRNA from 1 species